rnacentral:rRNA from 1 species
UACAGAGGGGGCAAGCGUUAUUCGGAAUUAUUGGGCGUAAAGGGCGCGUAGGCGGCUUUGCAAGUGACGGGUGAAAUCCCUCGGCUUAACCGAGGAACUGCCUGUCAGACUGCAUGGCUUGAGACCGGGAGAGGUGAGUGGAAUUCCCAGUGUAGCGGUGAAAUGCGUAGAUAUCAGGAGGAAUACCGAUGGCGAAGGCAGGUCUCUGGGCUGAGACUGACGCUCAGGCACGAAAGCGUGGGGAGCAAACAGG